rnacentral:rRNA from 1 species
UACAGAGGUCUCAAGCGUUUGUUCGGAUUCAUUGGGCGUAAAGGGUGCGUAGGCGGCGCGGUAAGUCGGGGUGUGAAAUCUCGGAGCUUAACUCCGAAACUGCAUUCGAUACUGCCGUGCUUGAGGACUGGAGAGGAGACUGGAAUUUACGGUGUAGCGGUGAAAUGCGUAGAUAUCGUAAGGAAGACCAGUGGCGAAGGCGGGUCUCUGGACAGUUCCUGACACUGAGGCACGAAGGCCAGGGGGAGCAAACGGGG